rnacentral:lncRNA from 1 species
AUGGGUUUUGCUUUGGCGCGGGUCGGUGUUUGUCCGGCCAUCGACUCGGCGGCGUGAAUGCCCGGAGCGGCUUGCUGACCGAAUUUCACUGCAUGGCGACCAAAAACGGCGAUACCCACCGCCCGCAUAUGAAACCCGAAAGCGGCAACAACCAAUGCCGGGCAACGAUCAGCCGGCUCGGCCACGGCGUGUAGGCGGGUCUAGCCAGUUGGCUCGGAGGUGUCGGCUAGCCGAUUAGCCGCCCAACGUCCAGCCGUUGCGCAGCGCCAACGACAACAAACAACGACGCUAACGGUAAACAGUGGGCACAAAAAAGGCAGAGAAAAAAAG